rnacentral:rRNA from 1 species
CAGCCGCCACGGGAACACGUAGGGGGCAAGCGUUAUCCGGAUUUACUGGGUGUAAAGGGAGCGCAGGCGGUGCGGCAAGUCUGAUGUGAAAGCCCGGGGCUCAACCCCGGGACUGCAUUGGAAACUGUCGUACUUGAUUAUCGGAGAGGUAAGUGGAAUUCCUAGUGUAGCGGUGAAAUGCGUAGAUAUUAGGAGGAACACCAGUGGCGAAGGCGGCUUACUGGACGAUAACUGACGCUGAGGCUCGAAAGCGUGGGGAGCAAACAGGAUUAGAUACCCGUGUAGUCCCUGUCUCUUAUAC